GCCCUGCCAGUAGGGUGGAUAUGACCCUCGGUUUGUAACCGAGUGUGUUCGGUUCGAAUCCCGAGUAGGGCA
rnacentral:tRNA from 1 species